AGGUGAAACCGCGAAUGGCUCAUUAAAUCAGUUAUGGUUCAAUGGAUCGUACUCAGUUACUUGGAUAACUGUGGUAAUUCUAGAGCUAAUACAUGCAGCAGAGCUCCGAACUUCGGUGACGAGCGCUUUUAUUAGACAAAGCCAGUCGGACUCGUCCGUUACUAUGGUGACUCUGGAUAACUUUGGGCUGAUCGCACGGGCUCGUCCCGGCGACGCAUCUUUCAAGUGUCUGCCUUAUCAACUGUCGACGGUUGGUUAAAUGCCUACCGUGGUUGUAACGGGUAACGGGGAAUCAGGGUUCGGUUCCGGAGAGGGAGCCCGAAAAACGGCUACCAGUUCUAAGGAAGGCAGCAGGCGCGCAAAUUGCCCACUCGAAGCACGUGGAGGCAGUGACGAAAAAUAACAAUACGGGACUCUUUUGAGACCCCGUAAUUGGAAUGAGCACAGUUUAAGGCUCUUAACGAUAAACAACUGCAGACAAAGCCUAGUGCCAGCUGUCGCGGUAACUCUAGCUGCAGUAGCGUAUGUUAAAGUUGUUGCGGUUAAAAAGCUCGUAGUUGGAUCUGUGUUACGGCUCCGGACGCUGCCUACCGGCGGUCGAUCCGGUCGCCGAACAGCCAGCCGGUUUCCCUGGAUGAUCUUCACCGGUUGUCCUUGGUGACCGGCACGUUUACUUUGAAAAAAUUAGAGUGCUCAAAGCAGGCGCGACGCCUGAACAAUGGUGCAUGGAAUAAUGGAAUAGGACCUCGGUUCUGUUUCGUUGGUUUUCUGAACUCGAGGUAAUGAUUAAGAGGGACAGACGGGGCCAUUACUACUUUCUAGGGAGAGGUGAAAUUCUGUGAUCUAGAAAAGAGUAACGAAAGCGAAAGCAUUUGGCAAGGAUGUUUCCGUUAAUCAAGAACGAAAGUUGGGGGUUCGAAGGCGAUCAGAUACCGCCCUAGUCUUAACUAUAAACGAUGCCAACCAGCGAUCCGCCUGAGUUCCUCAAAUGACUCGGCGGGCAGCUCCCGGGAAACCAAAGUUUGGUUCCGGGGGGAAUAUGGUUGCAAAACUGGAACUUAAAGGAAUUGACGGAGAGGCACUACAAGGCAUGGAUUAUGCGGCUCAAUUUGACUCAACGCACGAAAUCCUACAAUGCCAGGACACAUUUAGGAUUGACAGAUUAAGAGCUCUUUCUCGAUCAUGUGGAUUGUGGUGCAUGGCCGAUUCUAGUUGGUGGAUUGAUUUGUCUGGUUUAUUCCGAUAACGAGCGCGACCCCAGCCUGCUAAAUAGGCGACCCGGUAGAUGAAGCCGGGCGUUUUCUUAGAGGGACAGGCGGCGUUCAGCCGCACGAAACGGGGCAACAUCAGGUCUGUAAUGCCCGCAGACGUCAUUGGCGGCACGCGUGAUACCAUGAUGGAAUCAG
rnacentral:rRNA from 1 species